rnacentral:misc_RNA from 1 species
UACGGAGGGUGCAAGCGUUGUCCGGAAUCAUUGGGUGUAAAGGGUGCGUAGGCUGGCAUCUAAGUCUGGGGUGAAAGUUUGCCGCUUAACGGUAAAAUUGCCUUGGAUACUGGAUGUCUUGAAUCUGACAGAGGUCGGUGGAAUUCGUAGUGUAGCGGUGAAAUGCAUAGAUAUUACGAAGAACAUCAGUGGCGAAGGCGGCCGGCUGGGUCAGUAUUGACGCUGAGGCACGAGAGCGUGGGGAGCGAACAGG